UGGGGAAUCUUGGACAAUGGGGGCAACCCUGAUCCAGCGACGCCGCGUGGGUGGUAAGGCCUUCGGGUUGUAAAGCCCUUUCACCGGGGAAGAUGAUGACAUUACCCGGAGAAGAAGCGCCGGCUAACUCCGUGCCAGCAGCCGCGGUAAGACGGAGGGCGCUAGCGUUGUUCGGAAUCACUGGGCGUAAAGGGCGCGUAGGCGGCUGUUUAAGUCGAGGGUGAAAGCCCGGGGCUCAACCCCGGAACGGCCUUCGAGACUGGGCAGCUCGAGACCGGAAGAGGAGGGUGGAAUACCCAGUGUAGAGGUGAAAUUCGUAGAUAUUGGGAAGAACACCGAUGGCGAAGGCAGCCAUCUGGGCCGGCAUUGACGCUGAGGCGCGAAAGCGUGGGGAGCAAACAGGAUUAGAUACCCCGGUAGUCC
rnacentral:rRNA from 1 species